GGCUGGUCUGAUGACAGUGGGUUAUCAGAACUUAUUAACAUUAGUGUCACUAAAGUUGGUAUUCAACUCCUCCCCCCUGCUAAAUUUGACUGGCUUAAA
rnacentral:Y_RNA from 1 species